rnacentral:rRNA from 1 species
AGAGUUUGAUCCUGGCUCAGGAUGAACGCUGGCGGCGUGCCUAAUACAUGCAAGUCGAACGAAUCUUCUUCGGAAGAUGAGUGGCGAACGGGUGAGUAAUACAUAGGUAACCUGCCCCUGCGCGGGGGAUAACAGGAGGAAACUCCUGCUAAUACCGCAUAGCCAUGAGCACCGCAUGGAGCUCAUGCCAAAUAUCCUUCAGGGGAUAGCGCAGGGAUGGACCUAUGGCGCAUUAGCUAGUUGGCGGGGCAACGGCCCACCAAGGCAACGAUGCGUAGCCGGCCUGAGAGGGCGGACGGCCACAUUGGGACUGAGACACGGCCCAGACUCCUACGGGAGGCAGCAGUAGGGAAUUUUCGGCAAUGGGGGAAACCCUGACCGAGCAACGCCGCGUGAGCGAAGAAGGCCUUCGGGUCGUAAAGCUCUGUUGUAAAGGAAGAACGUCGCGUGCAGGAAAUGGUGUGCGAGUGACGGUACUUUACCAGAAAGCCACGGCUAACUACGUGCCAGCAGCCGCGGUAAUACGUAGGUGGCGAGCGUUAUCCGGAAUCAUUGGGCGUAAAGAGGGAGCAGGCGGCCGCAAGGGUCUGUGGUGAAAGACCGAAGCUAAACUUCGGUAAGCCAUGGAAACCGGGCGGCUAGAGUGCGGAAGAGGAUCGUGGAAUUCCAUGUGUAGCGGUGAAAUGCGUAGAUAUAUGGAGGAACACCAGUGGCGAAGGCGACGGUCUGGGCCGCAACUGACGCUCAUUCCCGAAAGCGUGGGGAGCAAAUAGGAUUAGAUACCCUAGUAGUCCACGCCGUAAACGAUGGUCACUAAGUGUCGGGGGUCAAACCCCGGUGCUGCAGUCAACGCAAUAAGUGACCCGCCUGAGUAGUACGUUCGCAAGAAUGAAACUCAAAGGAAUUGACGGAAG